rnacentral:lncRNA from 1 species
AUGGGAUAUAGGUAUAAGUGUCCCUUAGAUCUGAGAUCGCCUCAGUGACUUGCAAGCAACUCACUGUGCUUUGGUACUGGACUAACUGAAUUUUUAAUUCAGAGAUGGAAGGCUUCUGGGCACAGUCAAGUACUUACGAAGUCAGAGUGUGAUCGAGAUGAGAUUGACUACUCCAAGAGUUGGAGAAGAAUGAGUCGCUAUAUUUCAAUUUAGCAAAACUUUGGCCAGGGUAAUCCAUCAG